GAUGAACGCUGGCGGCGUGCCUAAUACAUGCAAGUCGAGCGAAUGGAUUAAGAGCUUGCUCUUAUGAAGUUAGCGGCGGACGGGUGAGUAACACGUGGGUAACCUGCCCAUAAGACUGGGAUAACUCCGGGAAACCGGGGCUAAUACCGGAUAACAUUUUGAACCGCAUGGUUCGAAAUUGAAAGGCGGCUUCGGCUGUCACUUAUGGAUGGACCCGCGUCGCAUUAGCUAGUUGGUGAGGUAACGGCUCACCAAGGCAACGAUGCGUUGCCGACCUGAGAGGGUGAUCGGCCACACUGGGACUGAGACACGGCCCAGACUCCUACGGGAGGCAGCAGUAGGGAAUCUUCCGCAAUGGACGAAAGUCUGACGGAGCAACGCCGCGUGAGUGACGAAGGCUUUCGGGUCGUAAAACUCUGUUGUUAGGGAAGAACAAGUGCUAGUUGAAUAAGCUGGCACCUUGACGGUACCUAACCAGAAAGCCACGGCUAACUACGUGCCAGCCGCCGCCGUAA
rnacentral:rRNA from 1 species